UUUCAUCUUUGAUCCUAAUCACAACUAUCGUUAUACACAACUCUUUUAACAAUGCUCACAUGCAUGCGGUUUUUAUUGUUCGAUCAAAACAAAGUUUGUUAGAGUUUCGCAUGCCCUUUAACAUUAUUCAAGCGCAGUUGCACUCAACGGCUGCACAAGAGGCACGAGGCGGUACACAAUGUUGGUAAAUCGAAAGAGUUAUAAGAGUCACCUGCUCCAGGUGCAAAGCCUUUGCUUUAGUAAAGGCAAAAUGAAAGUAAAGCUGGCCAACUCAAAGUUAAGUACAUUGUAAUCAUUACUUUCGGUCGCUUUGAGUGGCAUGAUUUUAAGAAAUCUACUAAAGAGGCACGUGGCUUGAACAUUCAAGCUGCGUAUGUUGACAUUGAGUCAUGAAGAAAACCAUGUCAUAAUAAGAAAUCUAUAUCGGGCAAUAAACAGAUUACAUUUGCAGCUGCUGCUGUUGAAAUAUGAUAAUAUUAUAAUGUUAGUCAUUGAUAAUGUAGUGUUAUAAAAUAUACAAAUAUAACCCA